CAAGGAAUUUUCCGCAAUGGGCGCAAGCCUGACGGAGCAACGCCGCGUGCCGGAAGACGGCCUUCGGGUUGUAAACGGCUUUUGUCGGGGAAGAGAUGGACGGUACCCGGCGAAUAAGCCCCGGCUAACUCCGUGCCAGCAGCCGCGGUAAGACGGAGGGGGCAAGCGUUGUCCGGACUCACUGGGCGUAAAGGGUGCGUAGGCGGUACAGAGCGUCGACACUGAAACCUCCUGGCUCAACCAGGAGACGCGUGGCGAUACGACUGAACUCGAGGCAAGGAGAGGUGCGCGGAAUUCCGGGUGUAGUGGUGAAAUGCGUAGAUAUCCGGAGGAACGUCGGUGGCGUAAGCGGCGCACUGGUCUUGACCUGACGCUGAGGCACGAAAGCGUGGGGAGCGAACC
rnacentral:rRNA from 1 species